rnacentral:rRNA from 1 species
UACGGGGGGGUGCGAGCGUUGUCCGGAAUCACUGGGCGUAAAGGGCGCGUAGGUGGUUUGAUAAGGGUGUGUGAAAGUCCGGGGCUCAACCCCGGAUCUGCCGUGCCGACUGUCAAACUCGAGGACUGUAGAGGCAGACGGAAUUCCGGGUGUAGCGGUGGAAUGCGUAGAGAUCCGGAGGAAGACCGGUGGCGAAGGCGGUCUG